GAGCGGAUGACGGGAGCUUGCUCCUUGAUUCAGCGGCGGACGGGUGAGUAAUGCCUAGGAAUCUGCCUGGUAGUGGGGGACAACGUUUCGAAAGGAACGCUAAUACCGCAUACGUCCUACGGGAGAAAGCAGGGGACCUUCGGGCCUUGCGCUAUCAGAUGAGCCUAGGUCGGAUUAGCUAGUUGGUGGGGUAAUGGCUCACCAAGGCGACGAUCCGUAACUGGUCUGAGAGGAUGAUCGGUCACACUGGAACUGAGACACGGUCCAGACUCCUACGGGAGGCAGCAGUGGGGAAUAUUGGACAAUGGGCGAAAGCCUGAUCCAGCCAUGCCGCGUGUGUGAAGAAGGUCUUCGGAUUGUAAAGCACUUUAAGUUGGGAGGAAGGGCAGUAAGUUAAUACCUUGCUGUUUUGACGUUACCGACAGAAUAAGCACCGGCUAACUCUGUG
rnacentral:rRNA from 1 species